rnacentral:rRNA from 1 species
GACGAACGCUGGCGGCGUGCUCAACACAUGCAAGUCGAGCGGUAAGGCCCUUUCGGGGGUACGACGAGCGGCGAACGGGUGAGUAACACGUGGGUGACCUGCCCUCAGCUCUGGGAUAAGCCUGGGAAACUGGGUCUAAUACUGGAUAUGACUCCACGGUGCAUGUCGUGGGGUGGAAAGCCUUGUGCGGCUGAGGAUGGGCCCGCGGCCUAUCAGCUUGUU